GUCGAACGAGACCUUCGGGUCUAGUGGCGCACGGGUGCGUAACGCGUGGGAAUCUGCCCUUGGGUUCGGAAUAACUCAGAGAAAUUUGAGCUAAUACCGGAUGAUGACGUAAGUCCAAAGAUUUAUCGCCCAAGGAUGAGCCCGCGUAAGAUUAGCUUGUUGGUAGGGUAACGGCCUACCAAGGCGACGAUCUUUAGCUGGUCUGAGAGGAUGAUCAGCCACACUGGGACUGAGACACGGCCCAGACUCCUACGGGAGGCAGCAGUGGGGAAUAUUGGACAAUGGGCGAAAGCCUGAUCCAGCAAUGCCGCGUGAGUGAUGAAGGCCUUAGGGUUGUAAAGCUCUUUUACCAGGGAUGAUAAUGACAGUACCUGGAGAAUAAGCUCCGGCUAACUCCGUGCCAGCAGCCGCGGUAAUACGGAGGGAGCUAGCGUUGUUCGGAAUCACUGGGCGUAAAGCGUGCGUAGGCGGUGACUCAAGUCAGAGGUGAAAGCCUGGAGCUCAACUCCAGAACUGCCUUUGAAACUAGGUCGCUAGAACAUCGGAGAGGUGAGUGGAAUUCCGAGUGUAGAGGUGAAAUUCGUAGAUAUUCGGAAGAACACCAGUGGCGAAGGCGGCUCACUGGACGAUUGUUGACGCUGAGGCACGAAAGCGUGGGGGGCAAACAGGAUUAGAUACCCUGGUAGUCCACGCCGUAAACGAUGAUAACUAGCUGCUGGGGCACUUGGUGCUUCGGUGGCGCAGCUAACG
rnacentral:rRNA from 1 species